UACGUAGGGGGCUAGCGUUGUCCGGAAUCAUUGGGCGUAAAGAGCGUGUAGGCGGCCGUACAGGUCAGCUGUGAAAACUCGAGGCUCAACCUCGAGACGUCGGUUGAAACCGUACGGCUAGAGUCCGGAAGAGGAGAGUGGAAUUCCCGGUGUAGCGGUGAAAUGCGCAGAUAUCGGGAAGAACACCCGUGGCGAAGGCGGCUCUCUGGGACGGUACUGACGCUGAGACGCGAAAGCGUGGGGAGCAAACAGG
rnacentral:rRNA from 1 species